CUAUGGGGGGCACCAGUCGAGAAUCAUCCGCAAUGGGCGAAAGCCUGACGGUGCAAUGCCGCGUGGGGGAUGAAGGCCCUCGGGUCGUAAACCCCUGUCAGGAGGGACGAAGAAGUGACGGUACCUCCAGAGGAAGCCACGGCUAACUACGUGCCAGCAGCCGCGGUAAUACGUAGGUGGCGAGCGUUAUUCGGAUUUACUGGGCGUAAAGGGUCCGCAGGGGGUUUGCCAAGUCUGGUGUGAAAUCUCACAGCUCAACUGUGAAACUGCGCUGGAUACUGGUGAACUAGAGUGCGCGAGGGGUGAGUGGAAUUCCUGGUGUAGCGGUGGAAUGCGUAGAUAUCAGGAAGAACACCAACGGCGAAGGCAGCUCACUGGCGCGCAACUGACCCUCAUGACGAAAGCGUGGGUAGCAAACAGGAUUAGAUACCCGGGUAGUC
rnacentral:rRNA from 1 species